UUGAGCCGUGGCUUUCGGAGCUAACGUGUUAAGUAGACCGCCUGGGGAGUACGGUCGCAAGAUUAAAACUCAAAUGAAUUGACGGGGGCCCGCACAAGCGGUGGAGCAUGUGGUUUAAUUCGGUGCAACGCGAAGAACCUUACCUACUCUUGACAUCCAGAGAACUUUCCAGAGAUGGAUUGGUGCCUUCGGGAACUCUGAGACAGGUGCUGCAUGGCUGUCGUCAGCUCGUGUUGUGAAAUGUUGGGUUAAGUCCCGCAACGAGCGCAACCCUUAUCCUUGUUUGCCAGCACUUCGGGUGGGAACUCCAGGGAGACUGCCGGUGAUAAACCGGAGGAAGGUGGGGACGACGUCAAGUCAUCAUGGCCCUUACGAGUAGGGCUACACACGUGCUACAAUGGCGCAUACAGAGGGCGGCCAACUUGCGAAAGUGAGCGAAUCCCAAAAGGUGCGUCGUAGUCCGGAUUGGAGUCUGCAACUCGACUCCAUGAAGUCGGAAUCGCUAGUAAUCGUGGAUCAGAAUGCCACGGUGAAUACGUUCCCGGGCCUUGUACACACCGCCCGUCACACCAUGGGAGUGGGCUGCAAAAGAAGUGGGUAGUUUAACCUUCGGGAGGACGCUCACCACUUUGUGGUUCAUGACUGGGGUG
rnacentral:rRNA from 1 species